CGCACAUUGCGCCCGCCAGCAUUCUGGCGGGCAUGCCUGUCCGAGCGUCAUUUCCACCCUCAGGCCCUGCCUGGUGUUGGGGACCUGCAGCUGCUGCAGCCCCCCAAAGACAACGGCGUGCCUGCCGGGCCCCGAGCGUAGUAACACACCUCGCCUGGGAAGUCCUGCAGCGCCCUGCCGCGAACCAAACACUUCUAAGGUUGACCUCGGAUCAGGUAGGAAUACCCGCUGAACUUAA
rnacentral:misc_RNA from 1 species